UUCCUUUUGACGAUAGGGUUGAUACUAUAUUGCACUACUUCGAUUUGCCUAGUAAUGAGAUUCCUAGUUUUAUGACGCUUUACUUCGAGGAUCCGGAUCAUCAGGGUCACCAGGUUGGCCCUGAUGAUCCUCGGAUCACUGAAGCUGUUGUUAACGUCGAUAGGUUGAUUGGUAGGUUGAUAGAUGGGUUGGAGAAGAGAGGGGUGUUCGAGGAUGUGACUAUGAUUAUGGUUGGUGAUCAUGGG
rnacentral:lncRNA from 1 species